UGACCUCGGAUCAGGUAGGAUUACCCGCUGAACUUAAGCAUAUCAAUAAGCGGAGGAAAAGAAACCAACAGGGAUUGCCUCAGUAACGGCGAGUGAAGCGGCAACAGCUCAGAUUUGGAAUCUGGUCCUUUGGGGCCCGAGUUGUAAUCUGGAGAGGAUGCUUCUGGCGCGGCGCCGUCCGAGUUCCCUGGAACGGGACGCCGGAGAGGGUGAGAGCCCCGUACGGUCGGACGCCUAGCCUGUGUGAAGCUCCUUCGACGAGUCGAGUAGUUUGGGAAUGCUGCUCAAAAUGGGAGGUAAAUUUCUUCUAAAGCUAAAUACCGGCCAGAGACCGAUAGCGCACAAGUAGAGUGAUCGAAAGAUGAAAAGCACUUUGAAAAGAGGGUCAAACAGUACGUGAAAUUGUUGAAAGGGAAGCGCCCGUGGCCAGACUUGUGCCCGGCAGACCAUCCGGCGCCCCCGCGCCGGUGCACUCUGCCGGGCGCAGGCCAGCAUCGGUUUUCCUAGGGGGAUAAAGGCGGCGGGAACGUGGCUCCCUCGGGAGCGU
rnacentral:rRNA from 2 species